rnacentral:rRNA from 1 species
CCCUUAGAUGUUCGGGGCCGCACGCGCGCUACACUGAAGGAAUCAGCACGUCUUUCUCCUUGUCCGAAAGGACUGGGUAACCCGCUGAACCUCCUUCGUGCUAGGGAUUGGGGCUUGUAAUUCUUCCCCAUGAACGAGGAAUUCCCAGUAAGCGCGAGUCAUAAGCUCGCGUUGAUUACGUCCCUGCCCUUUGUACACACCGCCCGUCGCUACCACCGAUUGGAUGGUUUAGUGAGAUCCUCGGAUUGGUCCCGGAGCGGCCUCUGGUCGUGCCGGAGUGCCGAAAAGAAUGUCGAACUUGAUCAUCUAGAGGAAGUAAAAGUCGUAACA